rnacentral:rRNA from 1 species
UACAGAGGGUGCAAGCGUUGUUCGGAAUUAUUGGGCGUAAAGCGCGUGUAGGCGGCUUGGCAAGUCGGGUGUGAAAGCCCUCAGCUCAACUGAGGAAGUGCGCCCGAAACUGCUGAGCUUGAGUACCGGAGAGGAUGGUGGAAUUCCCGAAGUAGAGGUGAAAUUCGUAGAUAUCGGGAGGAACACCGGUGGCGAAGGCGACCAUCUGGACGGAUACUGACGCUGAGACGCGAAAGCGUGGGUAGCAAACAGG